GACUCAGGGUCCGGAGUGCGCCGGCGCUAGGCCGGCGCGCUUUGCUAGUAGUGCUGCCUGCUUCUCCGGAUCAAUUUCCCAGCGCUGCUGUCGCCCGGCAGACGCAAGAGGGAAGGCCAAGACGGCGGCUGGGCGCUGGCUCCUUCCUCAUCUGAUGGGAGUAAGAAUGAGAGAAGCAGAAAGAAAAGCCGGUGUGAAAGCCUCAGUCGCCCAGCCGAGUUGGAGGCCAGUGUCGCUGCAUUGGAGAGAGCCAAAGGAAGAGAAAUCAAUACGGCGUGGCCACACUGCGCAGAGCAUUAUAGACCAAGGAUUUUCUUUCCCCCUAAGGGCAGUGGAAAGCCAUAGAAAGUUUUUUGAGGAGGCGGCUUGGUUUUGCUUUGAAUAGUGAAUAUAUGUUUUUUUCUCCAAACACUAUACAAGUGUAUACUUAAAAAGAAAAUGACUCAACCAAAUGGAUUCCAAGAAACCAGUUAGGAGAUUUCUGCAAUGGCCCCGAAGAGAGGCUUCUGGCUUCUUCUGUCUGAAUCACCGCUUCUCCUGCUCUGCAAGCUGCACUCAGCUCCAG